rnacentral:rRNA from 1 species
GAUGAACGCUGGCGGCGUGCCUAAUACAUGCAAGUCGAGCGAACGGACGAGAAGCUUGCUUCUCUGAUGUUAGCGGCGGACGGGUGAGUAACACGUGGAUAACCUACCUAUAAGACUGGGAUAACUUCGGGAAACCGUAGCUAAUACCGGAUAAUAUUUUGAACCGCAUGGUUCAAAAGUGAAAGACGGUCUUGCUGUCACUAUUAGAUGGAUCCGCGCUGCAUUAGCUAGUUGGUAAGGUAACGGCUUACCAAGGCAACGAUGCGUAGCCGACCUGAGAGGGUGAUCAGCCACACUGGAACUGAGACACGGUCCAGACUCCUACGGGAGGCAGCAGUAGGGAAUCUUCCGCAAUGGGCGAAAGCCUGACGGAGCAACACCGCGUGAGUGAUGAAGGUCUUCGGAUCGUAAAACUCUGUUAUUAGGGAAGAACAUAUGUGUAAGUAUCUGUGCACAUCUUGACGGUACCUAAUCAGAAAGCCACGGCUAACUACGUG